rnacentral:rRNA from 1 species
UGUGGUGGCGAUAGCGAGAAGGAUACACCUGUUCCCAUGCCGAACACAGAAGUUAAGCUUCUUAGCGCCGAUUGUAGUGAAGGGU